UGGGGAAUAUUGCACAAUGGAGGGAACUCUGAUGCAGCGACGCCGCGUGAGUGAUGAAGGACUUCGUUUCGUAAAACUCUGUUCUAUGGGAAGAAAAGGACUGUACCAUAGGAGAAAGCUCCGGCUAAAUACGUGCCAGCAGCCGCGGUAAUACGUAUGGAGCGAGCGUUGUCCGGAAUUAUUGGGCGUAAAGGGCGCGCAGGCGGCUUUACAAGUUGGAUGUGAAAUAUUGUGGCUCAACCACAAACGUGCAUCCAAAACUGCAAAGCUUGAGUUAAGGAGAGGUAAGUGGAAUUCCUGGUGUAGCGGUGGAAUGCGUAGAUAUCAGGAGGAAUACCGGUGGCGAAGGCGACUUACUGGACUUAAACUGACGCUCAGGCACGAAAGCGUGGGGAGCAAACAGG
rnacentral:rRNA from 1 species